ensembl:lncRNA
AUCCAGGCCCUUGGCAGUGGAAGUGUAAAGUCAUAAUCUCUGGACUGCCAGGGAACUUCCUUUUUUUUCUCUAAUUCUUCUGUAAAGGAACCACUUUUCAUUUCUUUUUUCUACAAAUGGAAAAGCAACAAAUAUAUUUUGAAUCAGUGAGGGUAAAAAGGUUGCAUUUUUCUUAUCAGCUAAGAUUGCUAAUUGCUACCUCAUGCUGUAUCAGGAAGGACUGUUGGUUACAACCAGGUUCUUCCAGAAAGAGUGCUGUGGUCAAUUAGUGAGGUCUGCUAUUGCCUUUAGGAGGAUAGAUGAUGACUUGCAAGUCAUCCUAGGUUGAAACAAGAAUCAAGGCCAAUCUUAAAUUAGAUGGAAGAACUGGGCAUCUACAUGGCAUAAGUCAGAGUUGAGGACACAGUGAGGAAGAAGUCAUCUGUAAGCCAAGAAGAAGGCUUUUACCAGGAAUGAAUCUGCAGACACCUUGAUCUGGAACUUUCCAUCAUCCAGAAAUGGCUGGCUUCCUUCCCUGUUGUUUGACCUGAGACCAAACUAUGGUGGAGGUAAUGAAGACAAUGGCGACUUCCUUCAAAAGGGCCUGGGCACGCACUGCCGAACUCAGUGCCCCUGACACUGCACCAGGCCACUGCCGACCCACGCCUCUGCUGGAGACUCUUGAACACUCACAGGCAAGACUCCUGGGUCAGUCUCUUGUGGGGUUACUGAUGCUUUCUCCUGGGUCCUGGUGCACACAAGGUUUUGUUUGUGCCAUCUAAGAGUCUGUUUCCCCAGUCCUGUGUAAGUUCUGGCAGCUCUAUGG